rnacentral:rRNA from 1 species
UACGGAGGGGGCGAGCGUUAUUCGGAAUUAUUGGGCGUAAAGGGCGCGUAGGCGGCUGUACAAGUCAAAGGUGAAAUCCCUCGGCUCAACUGAGGAACUGCCUUUGAAACUGUACGGCUUGAGGCCGGGAGGGGGUAGCGGAAUUCCCAGUGUAGCGGUGAAAUGCGUAGAUACUGGGAGGAACACCAGUGGCGAAGGCGGCUACCUGGACCGGUUCUGACGCUGAGGCUCGAGAGCGUGGGGAGCAAACAGG